rnacentral:misc_RNA from 1 species
CCGAGUUUUUUUACUCAAAACCCUGCAAACAUACCUAGACGUGCUUCGGUGGCCGGCCCCGGGGGGUAUGAACCAACGGUCACCGACAGCAUUCAAAAUCUCUGUCAUUGUAUUCUGAGUGACAAAAAAAAAAAACAAUCA